UUGAGAAAUUUUUUUUUGUACUUCAAAAUAAUUUAAUAAAAAUAGUUCAACACAAAAAAAUCUGGAUAACCAAGUAUCCAAAUUGUACAACUGUACCUUCAGAGUAAGAGCUUGAACUCACUACAACAUGACUAGCUUUUAAAAGUGUCUUUGUUAAGAUUUACUCUUAAACUCAGUCAUCCUGAAAACAUUUUAGUAUAUGUAAAAAACUGAAUUAAUUAAAACAUUAAUAUUUUUUUAAUGAUUCAACAAACAAAAACAUUCUUUAGGCUAAUGUUUUUCUGAUCUUCUUUACAAUUAAUUUCGAUACGGACAUUGUGUUCUUCAUGUUUACUGAAAAUCGUCGUCUCGGUAUAGGAUUAUGUGGCCUAGGUCUUUUGUUUUUAUUCCUUGGUGUUCUUUUUUUAUUUGAUCGGAUUUUUCUUUGCUUCGCAAAUGUGCGUUGACUGAAAACUUUUUUGUACACACCAUUGCCUGUUAUUUCUUCAACUCCACACGACUUUCUUAUCAGAUUUCAUUUUUAUUAGGAAUGAUAUUUCUUCUAGGUCCUUAUAAUACCAUUCGCUUUUUUAUAAAACGUAAUAAAUUAAAAGGAUCCUUUUUUUUUUUUUUGGGACUAACUAUUAUUGUACUACGAUGGCCGUUUUUUGGAGUUUUAUCCCAAAUCUAUGGAGUAUGGAUACUAUUUAAUACACUGUUACCCAACAUUUUAGGUUCUUUAAAGUUAACUCCCAUUGGAUUUAUUUUCGAAUUGCCCGGUUUGAAACAGAUAUCGACAUGGAUAUAUAAUCAAAGACGACUCCCUUAUUAAAUAGACGUAUUUUUUUAAAACAAUAUUCAACGCAUUUAUUAAAACAAACUUUUUUUUUGUCAAUUAUCUUAUUCUCUAUAAGGAAAUAAAAAAAAAAAGAAUCUAAAACCAUUAAGUAAUUUUCGUUCGUUAAAAACCGCCAAAAUGACGGCAGCCGGCUCUAGGUGGAUUCAUAAAAAUGUUUGUAGUGUUCUUGUGACAUAUAAAAACAUCCCAUUUGAUUAAGAAGAAAGAACACAAUAAUAAUAAGAAUAAUAAAAAUAAUACAUGUCGUUACAUGAUGUAUUAUCUGUUUCACACUUUUUUUUUUUUAAAGCAACAUAAACUUACUUUUUCUUUAUAAAAGCGGAACGUAGUGUAAAAGUAUUAUCGUUUUAUUGAUUAAAAAGUAUGUUC